rnacentral:rRNA from 1 species
UACGGGGGGGGCAAGCGUUGUUCGGAAUUACUGGGCGUAAAGGGCUCGUAGGCGGCCAACUAAGUCGGACGUGAAAUCCCCAGGCUCAACCUGGGAACUGCGUCCGAUACUGGAUGGCUUGAAUCCGGGAGAGGGAUGCAGAAUUCCAGGUGUAGCGGUGAAAUGCGUAGAUAUCUGGAGGAACACCGGUGGCGAAGGCGACAUCCUGGACCGGUAUUGACGCUGAGGCGCGAAAGCUGGGGAGCAACGGG